CAAAGCCCCAAGCAGAUUGGCCAACAGUCUGAAGUUCUGGGAUCUGAAGUCUAAAACAUGUAAAAGACCAAUGUUCGGGGAAUUUUCAGUGACUUCUCUGCAUUUCUCCACUAGUCUCCAUGUUUUUUGUCACAAGGAUAUUCACACAUUCAAGUAGUUGCUUCCAUCCAAUAUCCACUGAACUGCUAAAACUGAACAGACUAGCUCUGGCAGAAGAGCCCUCUCUGAAAGACCCCAUAGAGUUCCAGGAAGGCAAGUACAGAAGAAUCCAAAAAGGCACCAACACGAUUUGGCAAUAACCAUGUUCUGAUGAAAUGCCUUGGGCAGCAAUUCAUUAAUAAAGAACAGUCUGAAAAUACGCAACUGAACCAAAAAAAAGCAAAAUUAGAAAAUGAAGUCAUAUGGAUUCUAUUCUAACAAGAACAGCAGCUUCUUGCAGUUCUUUCAUAUUGCCUGGACUAUCUAUAAUCUGAGCUCACGCUGAUCCCCAAGAGUUUCUAUUAUAGCCUAACAGCUGGCAGAUGAAAACGGGGGUACAUAUACUGUCUUCAAGAAGCUGGCUGCUCCUAGGGGGUCUAGAAACAUGUUCCUGUGC
rnacentral:lncRNA from 11 species